GCCCUGGUGGCAUAGUGGUUAAAUGCCUAUACUGCAGCCACUCCAUAAGGUUGCGAGUUCAAUACUAGCCAGGGCU